rnacentral:tRNA from 1 species
GUCCAAGAAUAGGAAUCUAACCCACAAUGUCCCGCUUACCGGGCAGAUGCCAUGUCCACUAGGCUACCCUGGU